rnacentral:lncRNA from 1 species
CUGUUUAAACACAAGAAACAUUUUGUUCCUCUUCACAUUCUUUUAAAAACAUAUGAACAUGAAACCAGAAGGAUGGCACAGAGCUGCAAGCAGGAGACCAACAGCCAUGCUGUACUGAAGAAGUUAACUGUGCAGCAGCUGGAAAUGAUCUUCAGAGCUGCUGAAAUCAGCACAUGAGCUUCUGCACGUGGCUCUUCUUUGCCUUUUCUCCAUGCUGGGUGAGAAGACCCCAGGGGACACAAGGAAUGCCCUGUAAGAUCCCAUUGCCUCCCAGCACAGCAUGCUGAGAGGAGAGCUGAUGUGAGUAAACCAGCUCAUAGACCCUGCAGCUUAAACAGCCUUAAUCAAACCCUGCAGCCCAGCUUAGCCCUUUUAAAAUAUUUUGGGGGUGAUGUCAGCACCUGAGCAGCCAACACACUUGUUGCUCUCCUCCCUCAGACUACUUCAGUUCCCACAGUGGGACGAGGCACCAGAUCGAGUGGGAGAUAGGCAGCAGCUGAGAGAGAAAUUGUAUCUGCAGUGCCCCAGAGCCCCAGAGGCAGAACCACUGGGUCCCAUUCACCUUCAUAAGGAGCAGUGAGCUGUGGUAUGCUGGAAUUAACCUCUGGCAGAAUAGAAGACGGAUGUGCACAUACAGGUAAAACAUCACUCCUAGUUUCUGUGCGCCUUUGGGUAUCUCUCAGUCUCCUUUUUUUAUUUGAGAACAUGAUCUUGUAAAGAAAGAGAGAAAAAAAUGUUACAUUCUUAUCAGCCUCUCUAAAUUUUACGCAUUUGAUAUUAUUUUUAUAGUGUUGAUUGAAUUUUCAGUAGCAUCACAGAUGAUCUAAUUCAAAUGAUAUUGGUUGAACUGCCUCCUACAAUUCUCUGACCAAAAGACAGUUCUUUUCUGUGAGGAAGGGGAGUCUCUAACUUCCAUCACUCAAAUGUCUAUGAGCUGUCGCUGCUAUACUUGAAAAAUAAUGGAAUAGUACUGUGGUGUAGAAGUUAAUUAUCAUUAUGCAUGAGGCUCAUAGACAGUGAUUAUACACAUCCAAAAUAAAUAUAAGAGAAUCACAAAAGAUACUGCUGAU